rnacentral:rRNA from 1 species
AUUGAACGCUAGCGGGAUGCUUUACACAUGCAAGUCGAACGCGUGGCGGACGGGUGAGUAAUCUCUCGGAACGUGCCCAGUAGCGGGGGAUAACUACUCGAAAGAGUUGCUAAUACCGCCUACUAUUGGAGCGGCCGAUAUCGGAUUAGCUAGUGGUUGGGGUAAAGGCUCACCAAGGCAACGAUCCGUAGCUGGUUUGAGCGGACGACCAUCGACACUGGGACUGAGACACGGCCCAGACUCCGACGGGAGGCAGCAGUGGGGAAUUUUGGAAAAUGGGGGAAACCCUGAUCCAGCCAUCCCGCGUGUAUGAGAAGGCCUUCGGGUUGUAAAGUACUUUUGGCAGAGAAGCGGUAUCUGCAGAAUAAGCACCGGCUAACUACGUGCCAUCAGCCGCGGUAAUAC